rnacentral:rRNA from 1 species
UACGUAGGGGGCGAGCGUUGUCCGGAAUUACUGGGCGUAAAGGGCGCGUAGGCGGCCUGCUAAGUCGGAUGUGAAAUCCCUCGGCUCAACCGAGGAACUGCAUCCGAUACUGGCGGGCUUGAAUCCGGGAGAGGGAUGUGGAAUUCCAGGUGUAGCGGUGAAAUGCGUCGAGAUAUCUGGAGGAACACCGGUGGCCGAAGGCGGGCAUCCUGGACCGG